rnacentral:rRNA from 1 species
AGUGAACGCUGGCGGCGUGCCUAAUACAUGCAAGUCGAACGGAGAUUAAGUAGCUUGCUAUUUAAUCUUAGUGGCGCACGGGUGAGUAAUAUAUAGCUAACUUGCCCAUUACUAAGGGACAACAGUUGGAAACGACUGCUAAUACCUUAUACUCCGUAUCUAUAUAAGUAGAUACGGGAAAGUUUUUCGGUAAUGGAUAGGGCUAUAUCGUAUCAGCUAGUUGGUAAGGUAAUGGCUUACCAAGGCUAUGACGCGUAACUGGUCUGAGAGGAUGAUCAGUCACACUGGAACUGGGACACGGUCCAGACUCCUACGGGAGGCAGCAGUAGGGAAUAUUGCUCAAUGGGGGAAACCCUGAAGCAGCAACGCCGCGUGGAGGAUGACACUUUUCGGAGCGUAAACUCCUUUUCUUGGGAAAGAAUUAUGACGGUACCCAAGGAAUAAGCACCGGCUAACUCCGUG